UCUUCUCAUUCAGGACUGAGGGCUGUGAAGUUCAGUUCUGAGUGGCUAAGGGAUCCCUCAAAGCCACGAGAGGACCCAGAUUUUGUGCUCUUAGCUCCUGAAGCUGAGUUCCCCAAGAAAUCCAUCCUACUGUUUCCUCUACCUGCCAUCAAGAUCUCUGUUCCUGAGGAGGAGCUGGAAAGAGACUCACACAAAACCUCUUGUUUCUUUGGUCUCUACUAUCUUUCCCUGAUCUGUGUUAAGAUUUAGUGUUAAGAUAUAUUAGCUUAGAAACCUAUGAGAGCAGUCAGCUGGGAGAGGGGCUGAGACAUUUUGUGGACUCAGGAACCAGCCUCUUGCCUAGCUGCUGAGGCUUAGUUUAGUUUUAGUUUCUUCCAUUUCCCUUCAACCUUGUGUCUCCCCCUUCCUUUCAAACAAAUCCUUAGAUUAAGUCAAGAUUUCGCUUUGGCCUAUCCUUUCAGCAGGAGGGGAGUUGGGCAAUUUGAGACUGGACUCAAAACUUGAGUCCUGUUUCUUCCUGUGACAAGUCCACGCUAGGACUGUCACACAUUCUCCAUUCGAGGAAGAUACAUUAUAAACCUUCCUCAGAAGGGAAACAGACAUCUCUUCCACUCAGGUUGUGCUCUCUUUUGGUGCUCUAAGGAUUUAGUCUGUUAAAUAUCCCUUGAGUAAAGGAGAGAGAAAGCCACUUUCCUCUCCCUCUGGAGGUUAUCUCAAACCCCUGCUUCAAUUCACCUUAGGGAGGAAAAGAUCCUGACAUCUCCCCUCCAUCAACAAGGCUUACCUCAGUUCCCAUAUUCCCUCACCACUUGAUUCACUCAACUUUCUCCACUGGUAUCACAUCUAACUAGUAGGACAAACCAUCCAACCCCUUCCAUUACAAAAAGAAGGAAAAGCCUUUUUUCAUUUUUACAUUAUCAACAAUGGUUUGAAAAAGAUAGAAGGCAUCAUCAGAGGCAUUUAUGGAUGGGGGAAAAGUGGACCAAAAUGAAAAAUAAUUGAUAGACAUUCCAAUAUAUGAAAAGAACCAGAGUAAGACCCCCUCUAGUGAACUUAGUGAAUCCUCUAUGGAAGAUUGACAGGAUACAGAAGAAUAUUAUAUGGAUGAUAAAACAUGUGUAUUUUGGAGGGAUGAUGGGCAGGGUUAUGAUCUCUCCUAGAGGAAAACCUAGUCACACUGGCAAGAGGACAAUUCAUUCCUUUUUGUUUGUGUUUUGUUUUGUUUUCUCUCUUUUAAAAACUCCUCUCUCCUCACUUUCCUUCUUUCAUAGAAAAAUAAAAAGGAAGAUAAAGCCUCCAUAAUCUAUAUGAAAAAUAAAUAUCCCCAUUUACCAUGUCCAAAAACAUGUAUCAUUCUGCAUUUUAAGUCUAUUACUUCUAUGAGAGGAGAUGAGUGGUGUUUCAUCCUCAGGAGUUUGGACUCAUGAUGUAUCAACUCAUUGAUCAGAACUCUAAAAUCUUUCAAAGUUAUUUGUUUUUACAGUGUUGUUAUUGCAUAAUUUAUUUUCCUGGAUCUACUCACUUUAUUAUGUAUCAUCAGGGCUCUUUCCUGUUCAUUCUUUUAAUUUUUUUUCUCAAAUUGCAUGUAGAUACAAUUUUUAAAUAAUUGUUUUCUGACAUUUUGCAAUACAUAUUCUCUCCCUCCCUCCUUUUCCCCCUCCCAAAAUAGCAGGUAAUGUGAUAUAGGUCACAACUGUGCUGUCAUGCAAUACAUAUUUCUAUGUUUGUCAUGUUGUGAAAGAAGGCACAUAUUACUUAUAUAUGAAAAAAUAUGAAGGAAGUAAAGUGAAAAAAUGGUUUGCUUCAAUCUGCCUUGUAUUUUUGGAAACUGGCCAAUAGAUCACUCUCUUAGGAAGAGUUGCAUAGGGUCUGUAACUAUCAUUUAAUUGAUAUAAAGAAUGCCUGGUAAGAAAAUUUCUUUUCCUAGAACAGAUACACUGUUUCCCCUGCAAUUUAGAAGUCUUAGAGAAUUGCCACGGGGAAAGAGAAAUUAAAUGACUUGCCCAGAGUUGUACAGUUACCAUGUUUCAGAGGAGGGGCUUAAUUCCAGGUUUUAUUGAACAGUAUUAAUCAAUGAAAAUUUCCUUAAGGGAGAAGGAUAAUUUAUGGAUUACCUCAAAAUGUCAAUAAUUUCCAAACUGUGAGUAUCUGGAGUUAUAGACCUACAAAGCAUAUCACAAUAACAUUUUGAAUUACUAUCAUAUUAUUGCACACAUUUUACAGAUGGCAAAAAAGACCUAUAUCAAAUGUUUGGCUAUAGCUGUUAUUGCCACUGCUAAUUUUCAGAGGUGGGGAUCUAUACCAGCCUUCUCCAGACUUAAUGUUCUUUCUAUUACAACCACACUACCUCUAUCAAUAAAUUAUUUAUUUUCCAGAGUGGGUAGCAAAUCUCUCAGGAAAAAAUAAAGGACUAAAUAUCAGAUGGGGAUUACAUCUUUUCCAAAAGGCAAACUAAGAUUUAAGUAUGUGAAAUUGACCUAAAAAAAUAAUUUGAAGUCUCCUCCACUCUUUGUUUGCAGUCCCAACAAGACAGAGGACAAGUGCUAUGGAACAAGAGUUUAUCAUCCCUAGAAGUGUUUGAGUGGAAUUUGAAAGACAAUUCAUUGAGGAUGCCAUAGAUAAAAUUCACUCUUCUGUGAGGGGUUUGGACUAGAUUACAGAUCAGAUAUCACAUCUUCAAGGAAUUCUCCCAUCUAUCCUCCCAACAGCUAGGUGAGUGCAUCAUCUCUACUUCUCUACCCCAGUUUCAGUGCUAGCAAGUAGAUAAAGAGUGAGAAACCUGGACACACAGUCGCGGAGCUCCCAAAAUUGAGAAAUCAUGGUAAGAGAAUGGAAAGGAACUAUGUGACCCUACUACUACAGCUUGGUAAUAAAUCAGAUAUGCCAUCAUCUAUCUGUUUCUCAUGGCCAGUGGUACAAUACAGUUGAAUUAAAAGAUCCAUCUAUUAAGACAAUUUUUAGAUAUUUUCCUGACUCCUAUGAUAAUUACGGGGAUAAAAUGAAGAAGUCCAAUCAGACACCUACUUUGUGUGUAAGGCAUGAUGCUAUGUGCUGGGAAUACAAAGAUAAAAUGAAGAAAACAAUCUCUAACCUCAAAGGAAAUGUAUUCCACUAUAAUUUGUUCACAGAUAAGCACAUAUGUAAUCAUCUAAGGGGCGGGGGAAGAAGAGUAAUAAUUAUUUUAUGUGUUAGGCAUACAAAGUCAAGAAAAGGAAUAGAUUCUACCCUCAAGGAACAUAUAUUCUUCUGUAUCUAUUUGAAGAAAAGCAUAAGUGUGAUCAUUUUAAAAGGACAAGGAGAACACUAACAAUGAAGUAAAUAAAAAAAAGCUUCUAAAGUGAGAAUUGAAGAAUGCUUUGGUAGCUAGGUCAUGAUAUAGUGCUUGGAAUCAGGAAGAUGUCUUUUCUGAGUUCAAAUCUUCCCUAGACACUUAUUAUUUGUGUGAGCCUGGGCAACUUAUUUAAUACUGUUUGCCUCAGUUUCCUCAUCUAUAAAAUGAGCUAGAGAAAGAAAUGUCAAACCACUCCAGUAUCUUUGCCAAGAAAAUCCCAAAUAGGGUCAUGUAGUAUUGGACACAGCUGAAAUGAGUCAACAACAAUAAGGGAUUCUAAGAGACAGAAGGAGAAUUGAGGAUUUUGCAGGUUGUGAGUGGAGCAGUGAUGACUUCAGAAUUCCUGUGUUCAUAGAUCUAGGAUUAGAAUAAACUUCAGGGGGCAACUAAGAGGCUCAGUGAAUGAGUGCAACACUUGAAGAUGGGAGGUCUUAGAUUCAAAUCUGAUCUCAGAUACUUCUUAGCUUUGUGACCCUGGGCAAGUCCCUUACUACCCCAUAAUACCUAGUAUUGAUUCCAAGAUAGAAAGUAAGUGUCAUUUUAAAAAAGAAGAAAGAUUCCAAGAGCUAUUUAGUCCAACCCCCUCAUUUUUAAGAUGAGGAAAAAAAUACCUAGAGUGAUUAAAUGAUUCACCCAAGGUCCCACACAUAGUUAGUAAGCCUCAUAAAUAGUAUCUGAAUUCAAGAUCUCUGACACCAGAAUCAGCAUUCUUUCCAUUAAACUAGAAAGUCAAGCAAGUCAAUUUGGUAGAGUACAUGAAUGGGGACUGAUGUACAGUAAGUCUGGAAAGAGAGUCAAAUUGUGGAAACUUUUAAAUACCAAGCAGAAUAAGUUUGUAGUUUUACCCAGAGCAACAGGGAGACAAUGAAGUUCCUUGAGCAGAAUAAUAACACCAACAGACUUGUGCUCUAGAAAAGCUGUUAUAUUAAAAUGCUUUCUGACAUGUUAAACCCA